rnacentral:rRNA from 1 species
AUUGAACGCUAGCGGGAUGCCUUACACAUGCAAGUCGAACGGCAGCACGGGCUUCGGUCUGGUGGCGAGUGGCGAACGGGUGAGUAAUGUAUCGGAACGUGCCCAGUAGCGGGGGAUAACUACUCGAAAGAGUAGCUAAUACCGCAUACGCCCUACGGGGGAAAGAGGGGGAUCGAAAGACCUCGCAAUAUUGGAGCGGACGAUAACGGAUUAGCUAGUUGGUGGGGUAAAGGCCAAGCAAGGCGACGAUCCGUAGCUGGUUUGAGACGACGGCCAGCCACACUGGGACUGGGACACGGCCCAGACUCCGACGGGAGGCAGCAGGGGGGAGUUUUGGACAAUGGGAGCAACCCUGAGCCAGCCAUCCCGCGUGUGCGAUGAAGGCCUUCGGGUUGUAAAGCACUUUUGGCAGGAAAGAAAUCGCACGGGCUAAUACCUCGUGUGGAUGACGGUACCUGCAGAAUAAGCACCGGCUAACUACGUGCCAGCCGCCGCAGUAA